rnacentral:rRNA from 1 species
CAGCAGCCGCGGUAAUACGAAGGGUGCAAGCGUUAAUCGGAAUUACUGGGCGUAAAGCGUGCGUAGGCGGUUCGUUAAGUCUGUUGUGAAAGCCCCGGGCUCAACCUGGGAAUGGCAAUGGAUACUGGCGAGCUAGAGUGUGUCAGAGGAUGGUGGAAUUCCCGGUGUAGCGGUGAAAUGCGUAGAGAUCGGGAGGAACAUCAGUGGCGAAGGCGGCCAUCUGGGACAACACUGACGCUGAGGCACGAAAGCGUGGGGAGCAAACAGGAUUAGAUACCCGCGUAGUCCCUGUCUCUUAUAC